rnacentral:rRNA from 1 species
CACGUAGUUAGCCGGUGCUUUUUCUGCAGGUACCGUCACUUUCGCUUCUUCCCUGCUAAAAGAGGUUUACAACCCGAAGGCCGUCAUCCCUCACGCGGCGUUGCUGCAUCAGGCUUGCGCCCAUUGUGCAAUAUUCCCCACUGCUGCCUCCCGUAGGAGUCUGGGCCGUGUCUCAGUCCCAGUGUGGCCGGUCACCCUCUCAGGCCGGCUACCCGUCGACGCCUUGGUGAGCCAUUACCUCACCAACAAGCUGAUAGGCCGCGAGCCCAUCCCCAACCAAUAAAUCUUUCCAACCACUGAAGAUGCCUUCAUGGUUCGUAUCCAGUAUUAGACGCCGUUUCCAGCGCUUAUCCCAGAGUCAGGGGCAGGUUGCUCACGUGUUACUCACCCGUUCGCCACUAAUCCCCAAGUGCAAGCACCUGGUUCAUCGUUCGACUUGCAUGUGUUAAGCACGCCGCCAGCGUUCAUCCUGAGCCAGGAUCAAACUCU